rnacentral:lncRNA from 1 species
AUGAGGGUGUCUAGGUUGUGUUAUUCCAUGAGCACCACAAGAAAGACAGCAGGACCCCAGUUGCUUGAAGAGCUUGGUGCAAUGUGGUGCUCUUCAGAGACUUCUGCUGUGAAUUUGGGUGAGUCUCUUUGUCUUGAUUUUCCAUUUAUACAGCAGAAAUACUAUUUUCAUGGUUCUUUAAAGUGUGCCUUCAGUCCAUGUGCAUGCAGUCCCUGAUACCAUUUGUUGUUGACCUUGUUCAGAAGCUUGAGGCCUGCAGAAUUAAAACAAAAAAGGUGUUCAAUAUAGAGUUGUUGUUUUUUUGGUUGGUUGGUUGGAUUUUUUUUUUUGUCCAUCUCCUAAUGUCCAGGAGCUUGUGCUCCAGCUGAGCAUGCAGAUAGCUCCUACAGCGUUUCAAGAGUUGGUCAUGCAGGUUUUAUUUAAGUCUCCAGGAUUUAUCAUUUGCUCUUUGCCCAUCAAAGGGUAGGUUGCUGCUCUGAAAUACACUAGAAUUGAAGCUGAGAAAGUG